rnacentral:lncRNA from 1 species
UUAAGUAUCCUUUCAUCAUUGUGAAUGUUCACUUAUUUUUGCCUAGAUUGCCCCAGGGUGAGGUACUCAAUCUAGCGGGAUGCAAAUAUACUUCUUUUUUUCAAGUCUCUAAUUUUUGCCUGGAUCGCCCUUUCGGGUUUCCCACCGAGACGCUCAUUUUUGCCUAAGCCGCCCUUUCGGGUUUUCAACUUAGCGAGCUAUUCUGUUUUUCUUUUAGGCAAAGUAUUUCUUGACUGCAUCUGAAUUCACAGGACGAGUG